AAGACCUUGCGCUUUUGGAGCGGCCGAMGCCUGAUUAGCUUGUUGGUAAGGUAAAAGCUUACCAAGGCUUCGAUCAGUAGCUGGUCUGAGAGGACGGCCAGCCACACUGGGACUGAGWCACGGCCCAGACUCCUACGGGAGGCAGCAGUGGGGAAUUUUGGACAAUGGGGGCAACCCUGAUCCAGCCAUGCCGCGUGAGUGAAGAAGGCCUUCGGGUUGUAAAGCUCUUUCAGCCGGAACGAAACGGUUACGGUUAAUACCCGUGACUACUGACGGUACCGGAAGAAGAAGCACCGGCUAACUACGUGCCAGCAGCCGCGGUAAUACGUAGGGUGCGAGCGUUAAUCGGAAUUACUGGGCGUAAAGCGUGCGCAGGUGGUUUUGUAAGUCAGAUGUGAAAGCCCCGGGCUCAACCUGGGAACU
rnacentral:rRNA from 1 species